GUGAGCGUGGCCAAGCGGUAAGGCGCCUGACUGUGGCUCAGGAGAUCGAGGGUUCGAAUCCCUUCGCUCACCCCA
rnacentral:tRNA from 1 species